AUUGAACGCUGGCGGCAGGCCUAACACAUGCAAGUCGAACGAGUGGCGGACGGGUGAGUAAUGUCUGGGAAACUGCCUGAUGGAGGGGGAUAACUACUGGAAACGGUAGCUAAUACCGCAUACCAUCGGAUGUGCCCAGAUGGGAUUAGCUAGUAGGUGGGGUAAAGGCUCACCUAGGCGACGAUCCCUAGCUGGUCUGAGAGGAUGACCAGCCACAAUGGGACUGAGACACCGGCCCAGAUCCCACGGGAGGGAGCAGUGGGGAAUAUUGGACAAAGGGGGCAAGGCUGGUGGAAGCCUGCCGCGUGUAAGAAAGAGGGCUUCGGGUUGUAAAGUACUUUCAGCGGGGAGGCGUUACCCGCAGAAGAAGCACCGGCUAACUCCGUGCCAGCAGCCGCGGUAAUUC
rnacentral:rRNA from 1 species